rnacentral:rRNA from 1 species
GACAGAGGGGGCAAGCGUUGUCCGGAAUUACUGGGCGUACAGGGCACGCAGGUGGCUGCAUAGGUGGCGUGUGAAAGCCCCGCGCUUAACGCGGGGAGGCCACGCCAAACGGUGCGGCUCGAGCGAUGCAGAGGGUGGUGGAAUUGCCGGUGUAGUGGUGAAAUGCGUAGAGAUCGGCAGGAACACCAAGGACGAAGGUAACCACCUGGGCAUCAGCUGACACUCAUGUGCGACAGCGUGGGGAGCGAAC